rnacentral:rRNA from 1 species
AGGGUUUGAUCCUGGCUCAGGAUGAACGCUGGCGGCGUGCUUAACACAUGCAAGUCGAACGAUGAACUCUCACUUGUGGGGGGGAUUAGUGGCGAACGGGUGAGUAACACGUGAGUAACCUGCCCUUGACUCUGGGAUAAGCCUGGGAAACUGGGUCUAAUACUGGAUACGACCAUUCCACGCAUGUGGUGGUGGUGGAAAGCUUUUGUGGUUUUGGAUGGACUCGCGGCCUAUCAGCUUGUUGGUGGGGUAAUGGCCUACCAAGGCGACGACGGGUAGCCGGCCUGAGAGGGUGGACGGCCACACUGGGACUGAGACACGGCCCAGACUCCUACGGGAGGCAGCAGUGGGGAAUAUUGCACAAUGGGCGCAAGCCUGAUGCAGCGACGCCGCGUGAGGGAUGAAGGCCUUCGGGUUGUAAACCUCUUUCAGUAGGGAAGAAGCGUAAGUGACGGUACCUGCAGAAGAAGCGCCGGCUAACUACGUGCCAGCAGCCGCGGUAAUACGUAGGGCGCAAGCGUUAUCCGGAAUUAUUGGGCGUAAAGAGCUCGUAGGCGGUUUGUCGCGUCUGCCGUGAAAGUCCGGGGCUUAACUCCGGAUCUGCGGUGGGUACGGGCAGACUUGAGUGAUGUAGGGGAGACUGGAAUUCCUGGUGUAGCGGUGAAAUGCGCAGAUAUCAGGAGGAACACCGAUGGCGAAGGCAGGUCUCUGGGCAUUAACUGACGCUGAGGAGCGAAAGCAUGGGGAGCGAACAGGAUUAGAUACCCUGGUAGUCCAUGCCGUAAACGUUGGGCACUAGGUGUGGGGGACAUUCCACGUUUUCCGCGCCGUAGCUAACGCAUUAAGUGC